UCUUCCCUCUUUCUUCGUGCUUAACACAUGCAAGUCGAACGAUGAAGCCCAGCUUGCUGGGUGUAUUAGUGGCGAACGGGUGAGUAACACGUGAGUAACCUGCCAUUAACUCUGGGAUAAGCCUGGGAAACUGGGUCUAAUACCGGAUAGGAGCGUCGACCUCCUGGUGGGUGUUGGAAAGCUUUAUCGGUUUUGGAUGGACUCGCGGCCUAUCAGCUUGUUAGUGAGGUAAUGGCUCACCAAGGCGACGACGGGUAGCCGGCCUGAGAGGGUGACCGGCCACACUGGGACUGAGAGACGGCCCAGACUCCUACGGGAGGCAGCAGUGGGGAAUAUUGCACAAUGGGCGCAAGCCUGAUGCAGCGACGCCGCGUGAGGGAUGACGGCCUUCUGGUUGUAAACCUCUUUCAGUAGAGAAGACGCGAAAGUGACGGUACCUGAAGAAGAAGCACCGGCUAACUACGUG
rnacentral:rRNA from 1 species